rnacentral:rRNA from 1 species
UGCUGUUUAUACAGGAAGAAACACUACUUCGUGAAGUAGCUUGACGGUACUGUAAGAAUAAGGAUCGGCUAACUCCGUGCCAGCAGCCGCGGUAAUACGGAGGAUCCAAGCGUUAUCCGGAAUCAUUGGGUUUAAAGGGUCCGUAGGCGGUUUAGUAAGUCAGUGGUGAAAGCCCAUCGCUCAACGGUGGAACGGCCAUUGAUACUGCUAAACUUGAAUUAUUAGGAAGUAACUAGAAUAUGUAGUGUAGCGGUGAAAUGCUUAGAGAUUACAUGGAAUACCAAUUGCGAAGGCAGGUUACUACUAAUUGAUUGACGCUGAUGGACGAAAGCGUGGGUAGCGAACAGGAUUAGAUACCCUGGUAGUCCACGCCGUAGACGAUGGAUACUAGCUGUUGGGAGCAAUCUCAGUGGCUAAGCGAAAGUGAU